AGGCAGCAGUAGGGAAUCUUCGGCAAUGGACGAAAGUCUGACCGAGCAACGCCGCGUGAGUGAAGAAGGUUUUCGGAUCGUAAAACUCUGUUGGUAGAGAAGAACAUUGGUGAGAGUGGAAAGCUCAUCAAGUGACGGUAACUACCCAGAAAGGGACGGCUAACUACGUGCC
rnacentral:rRNA from 1 species